AUGGAUCAGGAAGCCAGGCAGGUGCUGGAGACACUGUCUCAGGAACACACAGCAGAUCUCAGAGGGACCUGCUGGACACUCACGUGGGACAUCAGCACUCACUUUCUCAGAGUCACCAAUGAGCUGUGGCUGGUGCCUGAUUCGACCAGGAUGGGGUCACAGCACCUGGUCAGUGUCAUGAAGGAGAAGACCCUGAGAGCUCAGCUCCUCAUUAUGGACCGGACCUGGAGGAUCCUCUUCUUGGUGGCAGCAGCCACAUGUGUCCACUCCCAGGUGCAGCUGGUGCAGUCUGGAGCUGAGGUGAAGAAGCCUGGGUCCUCAGUGAAGGCCAGCCCUGACCCUUCAGCUCUGGGAGAGGAGCCCAGCCCCAGAAUUCCCAGGUGUUUUCAUUCAGUGAUAAGCACUGAAUACAGGGGAUUCACCAUGGAUUUUGGUGGUUUUUGCUUGUUGCUAUUUUGAAAGGUGUCCGGUGUGAGGUGCAGCUGGUGGAGUCUGGGGGAGACUUGGCAAAGCCUGGGGGGUCCCAGAAACUCUCCUGUGCAGGUUCUCGAUUCACCUUCAGUAGCUACUACAUGAACUGUGUCCACCAGGCUCCAGGGAAUGGGCUGGAGUGGGUUGGACAAGUUAAUCCUAAUGGGGGUAGUACAUAUCUCACAGACCCCAGAAGGGCCGAUUCACCAUCUCCAGAGAUAACGCCAAGAACAUGCUUCAUCUGCAAAUGAACAGCCUGAAAACCAAGGACACGGCCUUGUAUUGUACCAGAGACACAGUGAGGGGAGUACAGUGUGAGCCCAGACACAAACCUCCCUGCAGGGCCAUGCAGGGAGGUUUCCUUUCUCAGCUGCAAGAUACGGGCUUAUUUUUGCAGGACUCUGGAGUCUUAUUAGGUUGA